rnacentral:lncRNA from 1 species
CUUUCCAAGACUCCCUCUCAUUAUUUCAGUGAUUGAAAUUUAAGUAGUUUACAUUCUUAACUUUGAAAUAAAAUUGGAAGGGGGCGUAGUGGAUUGAUAACUGGUCAGCUUAUAACCCCCAGCUGAACUGAGUGAGCAUGGCGCUGGGUGUGGGAAGCUCACCUGGAGACUGUUGCCAUCAGCAUAAGAAGCAGAACUGGAGAAGAAGUGAGAGACUGUUGGGAGCAGAAAAAGUCAGUUGGGAGCUGGUAGAUGCUGUAAAGAGCUGUUGGUUCUGUUGGAGCAGUUGGCGGUUUUCAUUCUCUGAGGAGCUCGGGUCCUUGUUGGCACUGAGAAUAGCUUCAGUUCACUUUGGGGGAACUGCAGUUCUCGUGAUGGUGUUCCCCUUGUAUGGGGAACCGUAGAGAUUUUGUAUAUCACAGAAAACCCACUACACUGCUGGCCCUUGGAGAAGAAAUUAAAAAUGCAUGUGCAGCAAUCUCAAUGACAAAGGUCACCCAAGUAUCAGCUUACUGUACUAAUGAAUCUCUGGAAACCAAUGGUCAUCACUUUGAGCACCACUUGUAAUUGUAGAGGCCAGACGUAUUUUGUAUUAAUCUCAUAAUAUCUCAAUAAAUUUAAUAUUAAAAUAUUUAUACAAACUUUUCUUUUCCUGAAGUGUGUAUACAUUCUUUU